rnacentral:lncRNA from 1 species
AUAAACUGAAGCUAUUGAACCAAUUAAUAGAUUUAAAACUUAUUUUUACAUAUAGAUAGAUGUAAUUGAAAUAUAUCAAGAAAUUUUUCGAUGCAUUUAGCACAUAAAAUCCUCCAAAAAAUAAGGAAAACAGUUAAAUAAUAUAACAUGAAGGAUUCAACAAAAACAACCAACAAGGAACAUCACAUUAUUCUUGGAUAACGGCAAUAAUUGUAUCAUUACUGAUUAUCAUCAGUUCUUCAUGGCGCAUCUCUCUAUGCAGGUAUUGACGCAGCCGACAACUUCCUUUGAAGCUGACAAAAACAAAACAAAUCAUUAAGUUAAUAUACGUACUUACUUACCAUCAAAUAUUAAUAUAAAACGGAAAAAGAAAAAUUACCAGGCAUCCUCCCUUGGCUGCUUAGCAUUGAACAUGUCAUGGCAGCACACCCAACAGUGCAGAAUACGGAGCUGCUCGCGAGGUGGGUUUCCUCCAAUGUCUCCACCAGUGCUUCUGACGGCAGGCAGCGUUGAAUACAUUCCCCAAGGGAAGUUCCGUUGGCGACGCAAGUCGUUACGCAAAAAGUAUACCCAAGUCCAAUCGGGACAAGUGCUGUAACAGCUUGACGCGAGGGACUAACAAGGAUCAACAACAGCAAACAGAACAUCAACGCCAAUGAUUUCCCCCCCAUUAUGUAUAUAUUUGAUUUGAUUUGAUAAUGAUUUUUUUGCACUGCUUGAUAUCGGUGUUAUAUACACUUUGAUUGUCAUGCCAAACUACCAAACUGCCUAAUUAAGAUGCCAAACUAUAAUGCCAAAAUUUGAUUGAAUGCAAAAUUAAAAGAACAUUUCUAUAAGUAAUCAAAAUAAUUUGAAAUGAAUUUGUCAUGCCAAACUACAUGGAAAAUGUCUAAUGUCUUGUCCUUUUUUUAGAAUUCUUCCUAAUAAUCUAAAUUCUUCCUAACCAUCCCAAAUAUUCUGAUUGUCAAUGUUCUUUCUCAGAUGUCAUGAAUCACAAAUGAACACUAAACCUUUAACUUCAUAUUUUAAACAUUAACAUCGAAGUAAACACUUAAACCGUGCAAAUAAAAUCUUGAUUCUCACCUUCACAGUGACUGUAUCCAUCUCCUUUGAUUUGCUCGCUAUCAACCAAGAGACAUUCACAAACUCUUCCUCGAAAUGUAUCUUAAGAAGAAAAUCAAUAUAUUCAAAUAAGCUCAUGGAGUAGAGAAUCCCUAUCAAAUCUGUUUCGAUUCAUACCCUGCAGGCUGUGAGAUUUGCUGCUUUUUCUUGCCAACAACCACCAUCAUUUUCCAAGCAUUCAUUCGUCUCCACAUCUGUGAAAAAAGUAACCGCCAUCACUGGUGUUUCAAAUAACAACUGGACAGUAAGUUGAAACACUACACUGGAUUUCUAAAAGCCUAGCUCUCGCCUAUGUUACUUAGUGUGAGAGUUGGAUAAGACAUAUGUCUGACAUGGACAUGUGCAAGUUGUUCUUCAUUUUCCCUGUAUUCAGAGUGUUUUUGGAGGGUCACAUCCCCAUACUCGUCUAUGAAAACGUGUCAGACACGGGUUCUCAAGAGAGGUAAAGAGUCAGCACCCCUAAGUGGAACCAGACUAAAAUACUUCUCUUGCAAGAAAAAUAAAACAAGACAAACUCACCACCACUCGAACAAACAGCUGGUUCAGUAGUCUCCUCGAAGCCGGCACAUAUGGCCUUCAAAACAGCACCUUUGGCCAGCUUUCCUGCAUGCAGAUAUGUUAAACGCGGAAAGCACCCAAAAUUUUAUCUGGGAAAUACGGGUAUAAAUACGAACCUCGAUAUUGGCGAUUGUUGACAACAAGUCUAGGCAAUAUGGUAACAUCUCCUCUAGAUCCUUUCCCCGCCUAUGAAAAUGUUUCUAUUAAAUAGCCUCAAAAAGGUCAAAGAAGACAACGAAUUGGAAAAAGAGUAGUGAAACAUAAAAUAUCUUAGCCUGAGAGGACUACUUGAGCAUCUUGUUCUUCUUCCAGAACAGGAUUCUCCAUAUCAGCAUCUGGAUCUCCCAAACACUUUUCGAUCUUUUUAGCGUCAAGCCCUGAAUGGAUGACAAAGGAAUAUCAUCAAUUUAUUACUAGUUUCCAGCAAGAUUUUGAGUUUUCACUGUGCUAUUAAUACUAACAGAAAUUUGAAGAUAAACCGAGGAUCUUCCAAUUAACUGUUUACCAAGAGAUUUGAUAACACCGUCUGCACAUUCCUUAUUAUAUCUUUUCUACUUCAUUGGCCAUCUUAUUUCAAAAUCAGUCACAUAGUCCCACCACACCCAAGGCCUAUUGGUCUCAUUUGCCACUUUGAAAACGCAAAGCUGCCUUAAGGUCUCAAUAACUACAUCUUUCCCUUCAUAACCUGAGCUAAAACCUUGUUCAGGAUCCGGUGCACAGUAUCUUCCGCGGUUGAUGCAUUGAGAUAUGCACUGCCGGCUUAGGGUGAAAGCUUGAGGGCAGUACCAAGUUAUAUAAUGGGGUGUGAACUGCGUAUAGCCACCUUUUUCGAGAAUCUUAGCAGCACCCUUGAAAUCCUUCACAAAUGCCAUCAGCAUAUCGCAUUUAACUCCACAUUCAUCAUUGCUCUUGGUCCAUAACUCGUACUCGUCACGAUCAUCAGGGUUAGAGUUUCACCAGAAGUUUUCUCGAUAAGGGCAGAUGAACUGUCCUCUUCGCGAUUGUCCCUGGUUAUUAAUGCUUCUUCUAUGUCAUCCGCAACAAGCACUGCAGAAGCACUGCUUGCCAUACAUUCCAAAUCUUUAAAGCAAAGAAGCAAUCUGGAGAAAUAAUAAGAAAAAAGGCGCUAAAUGCAGUCUCCGCAAAUAUAUAUAUAUAUCAAAAACUAAAGAAAAAUUACAUCUAAGACCAUAACUCAAUCAAGGACAAUAAGCAAAUUUUACAACCUUGGCAGCAACUGGAGUCCGUAUAUAGGCAACACUUCAGAUUUUUCUCAUCUCUUUAACAGUGUAAUCACAUUAUAGUAAUGUAACUGAAUUAUCUAAUCCGGAAGUAACUAUAAGCCAUUACUACCUAAUGCUUAGAUCAACCAGCAUUCUGAACCUCAUUUUUAUCACCAUACAUCUGUUUGAGAACCAACCAAACUCAAAUCGUACACUCUAAAUCUAUGUUCACUCGGACUCGGGUAUGAGUUUCAAAUGUAGGCACAUGUUUGAGACGGAUAUGUUAGUUUUGGUUUUUCAUGUAUCUGGAGGAUCUUUGAAAAGUCAUGUGUCGCCCAUAUGCAUGUUCGGAUAUUGAGUCUAGAACGGGUACUUCAGACGGAUAUCCAGAGGAUCAUUAACAGCAUAAUCGCGUUGCAGUAAUGUAACUGAAUUAUCUAAUCCGGAGGUAACUAUAAGCCAUUACUACGAAAUGCUUAGAUCACCAUUAUUUUGAAACUCGUUUUUAUUAUCAUCCAUCUGUUUAAGAACCAACCAAACUCAAAUCAUACACUCUAAAUCUCUGUUUACUCCGACUUGGGUAUGAGUUUCAAAUAAAGGUAUGUGUUUGACACUGAUAUAUUCAAUUUUUCUUCAUGUACCUAGGGGAUCUUUGAGAAGACAUAUCACCGCACACAUGUUCAGAUAUUGAGUCCAAAACCGGUACUUCAAGCAAAACUGAGACUCAGAGAAACUUAGCUCUAAACCACUUUAUCCAUACUGGAGAAAACUAUACGCCAUUACUACGAAAUUCUUAGAUAACCAGCAUUUUGAAAUUCAUUUUUAUUAUCAUACAUCUGCCUUGAGAACCAACCCAACCCAAAGCAUAUAUGUUCACUUGGACUCUGGGUGUGAGUUUCAAAUACAGGUAUGUGUUUGACACGGAUAUAUUCAAAUUUUUGUUCAUGUACCUAGAAGGAUCUUUGAAAAAUCAGAUCACCGUACACAUGUUCGGAUAUUGAGUCUAAAACUGGUACUUAAAGCAAAACCAAGAAUCUGAGAAACUUAGCUCUACUUUUGUAGACACCUCUAAGGCUACAUCCCUAUGAAAGGAGGGAAAUGAAGCUAAAUGAAUGGACCUAAUUUCAGAAAACAACUAGUAAGAUAAAAAGAGAGAAAGACAUCCGUCCAAACAACUUAAAGCAAAGCUGAAAACAAGUAAAUUAAUUCAUAAAUGAACGGAUAAAUAUAUAAAUAAUGAUAAUGAAAUCAAUGGAAACUGAUAAACCUAAAUUUAUUUAAAUGAAUUAGUUAAAAUAUAAUAACAUAAAUCCAAGUAGAUGGAAAAACCAAAUCUAUUAACCCUCAAAUCCCAAACUAUCAAAUAGAUUAUUGCCCCAUAAAUAAACCAAAUCCAACAAAUUGAACUUUAAACCUACUAUUUAAAUUCCCCAAUUUGGAAUUACUCAAAUUAGCUAAAACAACACAAAAAUUCCUCAUUGAUCAACCCUACAACAAACAAAUUAUAGCUCAAAUAAACAAAACCAUAGAUUAAUUUUUCUUAGAAGGCGAAAAUUUUGAAAAAAAGAAGAAGAAAAGUGUACCUCCACGAUCGACCAGAACAUAGGUAGGAAGAGAACCAGGCUUGGAUAUAACCGAAAUCCCAAAGUCAUCAAAACCUUUACAAGCUUUUCGGUUUUCUUCAGGGUAAACCACAACACCAGCCAUGCUUCCACCACAUUGAGGUAUCCCAAAGUUCCCAAUCGCACUAUCAUGGGUUGCUUUAAUCUUCUCCGGCGAUGUUACCGCCAAGCUCUUCUUUUCCACCACGAAUCUCGCGUAACAAUUGCGUAUCAAAGAUAAUAAAAUAAACACUUGAGGAAGAUGAUGAUGAUGGAAUGUUCGUAGCUCCAUAUCUUUACUUUUGGUUUUGGAUUUGGAUUGGAUCAGUUUUAAGGACGAUACUGAUGAAGAAGAUGAAGAUCGUGUAUGAAAAACAUGUAAAAUGAAAUGGUUUUUUUGAAAAAAAUAAAAACAGUGAAAAUCGCCAUUAAAUAAUUCUAUGAUUCUUUUAUUUGUUUUAAAUGAAUUUAGAACACAGUUAGUGAAAUUUUGACACGCUACUAAUAAAUAAUCUUAGUCAUUUAUAGAUUAAACAUUUUUCUUUUUUUUAAACAGUGCAAUGAGACCAAAUCCAGUCAUCUGAAGUAAACUUAAUGGGUUUAUGUUUUUCUUAGCCCCUAAAUUUUCACCUACCGUUUAAUUUAGUACAUGUUAAAAAAAAUCCAAUUUAGUCAUUUGUAUUAUACGUGACGGUCUUCUACAUAUACGAAGUCGUUUAAGUUUCGUUCCGGUGAAGAUUUCAAUAUGCUUAGCAUGUUCCAAAGUCCUUUGGCCCAUUCUAGCCAGUAUCGGCCCGUAUCAAUUGGUACAAAAUUUUGAUAUUUAAACUUAUCUUUUAAUUUUUUAUCUUAAACAUUUUAACUUUUUAUAACUACGUUUAAAAUUAAAAUAAACUGAAGCUAUUGAACCAAUUAAUAGAUUUAAAACUUAUUUUUACAUAUAGAUAGAUGUAAUUGAAAUAUAUCAAGAAAUUUUUCGAUGCAUUUAGCACAUAAAAUCCUCCAAAAAAUAAGGAAAACAGUUAAAUAAUAUAACAUGAAGGAUUCAACAAAAACAACCAACAAGGAACAUCACAUUAUUCUUGGAUAACGGCAAUAAUUGUAUCAUUACUGAUUAUCAUCAGUUCUUCAUGGCGCAUCUCUCUAUGCAGGUAUUGACGCAGCCGACAACUUCCUUUGAAGCUGACAAAAACAAAACAAAUCAUUAAGUUAAUAUACGUACUUACUUACCAUCAAAUAUUAAUAUAAAACGGAAAAAGAAAAAUUACCAGGCAUCCUCCCUUGGCUGCUUAGCAUUGAACAUGUCAUGGCAGCACACCCAACAGUGCAGAAUACGGAGCUGCUCGCGAGGUGGGUUUCCUCCAAUGUCUCCACCAGUGCUUCUGACGGCAGGCAGCGUUGAAUACAUUCCCCAAGGGAAGUUCCGUUGGCGACGCAAGUCGUUACGCAAAAAGUAUACCCAAGUCCAAUCGGGACAAGUGCUGUAACAGCUUGACGCGAGGGACUAACAAGGAUCAACAACAGCAAACAGAACAUCAACGCCAAUGAUUUCCCCCCCAUUAUGUAUAUAUUUGAUUUGAUUUGAUAAUGAUUUUUUUGCACUGCUUGAUAUCGGUGUUAUAUACACUUUGAUUGUCAUGCCAAACUACCAAACUGCCUAAUUAAGAUGCCAAACUAUAAUGCCAAAAUUUGAUUGAAUGCAAAAUUAAAAGAACAUUUCUAUAAGUAAUCAAAAUAAUUUGAAAUGAAUUUGUCAUGCCAAACUACAUGGAAAAUGUCUAAUGUCUUGUCCUUUUUUUAGAAUUCUUCCUAAUAAUCUAAAUUCUUCCUAACCAUCCCAAAUAUUCUGAUUGUCAAUGUUCUUUCUCAGAUGUCAUGAAUCACAAAUGAACACUAAACCUUUAACUUCAUAUUUUAAACAUUAACAUCGAAGUAAACACUUAAACCGUGCAAAUAAAAUCUUGAUUCUCACCUUCACAGUGACUGUAUCCAUCUCCUUUGAUUUGCUCGCUAUCAACCAAGAGACAUUCACAAACUCUUCCUCGAAAUGUAUCUUAAGAAGAAAAUCAAUAUAUUCAAAUAAGCUCAUGGAGUAGAGAAUCCCUAUCAAAUCUGUUUCGAUUCAUACCCUGCAGGCUGUGAGAUUUGCUGCUUUUUCUUGCCAACAACCACCAUCAUUUUCCAAGCAUUCAUUCGUCUCCACAUCUGUGAAAAAAGUAACCGCCAUCACUGGUGUUUCAAAUAACAACUGGACAGUAAGUUGAAACACUACACUGGAUUUCUAAAAGCCUAGCUCUCGCCUAUGUUACUUAGUGUGAGAGUUGGAUAAGACAUAUGUCUGACAUGGACAUGUGCAAGUUGUUCUUCAUUUUCCCUGUAUUCAGAGUGUUUUUGGAGGGUCACAUCCCCAUACUCGUCUAUGAAAACGUGUCAGACACGGGUUCUCAAGAGAGGUAAAGAGUCAGCACCCCUAAGUGGAACCAGACUAAAAUACUUCUCUUGCAAGAAAAAUAAAACAAGACAAACUCACCACCACUCGAACAAACAGCUGGUUCAGUAGUCUCCUCGAAGCCGGCACAUAUGGCCUUCAAAACAGCACCUUUGGCCAGCUUUCCUGCAUGCAGAUAUGUUAAACGCGGAAAGCACCCAAAAUUUUAUCUGGGAAAUACGGGUAUAAAUACGAACCUCGAUAUUGGCGAUUGUUGACAACAAGUCUAGGCAAUAUGGUAACAUCUCCUCUAGAUCCUUUCCCCGCCUAUGAAAAUGUUUCUAUUAAAUAGCCUCAAAAAGGUCAAAGAAGACAACGAAUUGGAAAAAGAGUAGUGAAACAUAAAAUAUCUUAGCCUGAGAGGACUACUUGAGCAUCUUGUUCUUCUUCCAGAACAGGAUUCUCCAUAUCAGCAUCUGGAUCUCCCAAACACUUUUCGAUCUUUUUAGCGUCAAGCCCUGAAUGGAUGACAAAGGAAUAUCAUCAAUUUAUUACUAGUUUCCAGCAAGAUUUUGAGUUUUCACUGUGCUAUUAAUACUAACAGAAAUUUGAAGAUAAACCGAGGAUCUUCCAAUUAACUGUUUACCAAGAGAUUUGAUAACACCGUCUGCACAUUCCUUAUUAUAUCUUUUCUACUUCAUUGGCCAUCUUAUUUCAAAAUCAGUCACAUAGUCCCACCACACCCAAGGCCUAUUGGUCUCAUUUGCCACUUUGAAAACGCAAAGCUGCCUUAAGGUCUCAAUAACUACAUCUUUCCCUUCAUAACCUGAGCUAAAACCUUGUUCAGGAUCCGGUGCACAGUAUCUUCCGCGGUUGAUGCAUUGAGAUAUGCACUGCCGGCUUAGGGUGAAAGCUUGAGGGCAGUACCAAGUUAUAUAAUGGGGUGUGAACUGCGUAUAGCCACCUUUUUCGAGAAUCUUAGCAGCACCCUUGAAAUCCUUCACAAAUGCCAUCAGCAUAUCGCAUUUAACUCCACAUUCAUCAUUGCUCUUGGUCCAUAACUCGUACUCGUCACGAUCAUCAGGGUUAGAGUUUCACCAGAAGUUUUCUCGAUAAGGGCAGAUGAACUGUCCUCUUCGCGAUUGUCCCUGGUUAUUAAUGCUUCUUCUAUGUCAUCCGCAACAAGCACUGCAGAAGCACUGCUUGCCAUACAUUCCAAAUCUUUAAAGCAAAGAAGCAAUCUGGAGAAAUAAUAAGAAAAAAGGCGCUAAAUGCAGUCUCCGCAAAUAUAUAUAUAUAUCAAAAACUAAAGAAAAAUUACAUCUAAGACCAUAACUCAAUCAAGGACAAUAAGCAAAUUUUACAACCUUGGCAGCAACUGGAGUCCGUAUAUAGGCAACACUUCAGAUUUUUCUCAUCUCUUUAACAGUGUAAUCACAUUAUAGUAAUGUAACUGAAUUAUCUAAUCCGGAAGUAACUAUAAGCCAUUACUACCUAAUGCUUAGAUCAACCAGCAUUCUGAACCUCAUUUUUAUCACCAUACAUCUGUUUGAGAACCAACCAAACUCAAAUCGUACACUCUAAAUCUAUGUUCACUCGGACUCGGGUAUGAGUUUCAAAUGUAGGCACAUGUUUGAGACGGAUAUGUUAGUUUUGGUUUUUCAUGUAUCUGGAGGAUCUUUGAAAAGUCAUGUGUCGCCCAUAUGCAUGUUCGGAUAUUGAGUCUAGAACGGGUACUUCAGACGGAUAUCCAGAGGAUCAUUAACAGCAUAAUCGCGUUGCAGUAAUGUAACUGAAUUAUCUAAUCCGGAGGUAACUAUAAGCCAUUACUACGAAAUGCUUAGAUCACCAUUAUUUUGAAACUCGUUUUUAUUAUCAUCCAUCUGUUUAAGAACCAACCAAACUCAAAUCAUACACUCUAAAUCUCUGUUUACUCCGACUUGGGUAUGAGUUUCAAAUAAAGGUAUGUGUUUGACACUGAUAUAUUCAAUUUUUCUUCAUGUACCUAGGGGAUCUUUGAGAAGACAUAUCACCGCACACAUGUUCAGAUAUUGAGUCCAAAACCGGUACUUCAAGCAAAACUGAGACUCAGAGAAACUUAGCUCUAAACCACUUUAUCCAUACUGGAGAAAACUAUACGCCAUUACUACGAAAUUCUUAGAUAACCAGCAUUUUGAAAUUCAUUUUUAUUAUCAUACAUCUGCCUUGAGAACCAACCCAACCCAAAGCAUAUAUGUUCACUUGGACUCUGGGUGUGAGUUUCAAAUACAGGUAUGUGUUUGACACGGAUAUAUUCAAAUUUUUGUUCAUGUACCUAGAAGGAUCUUUGAAAAAUCAGAUCACCGUACACAUGUUCGGAUAUUGAGUCUAAAACUGGUACUUAAAGCAAAACCAAGAAUCUGAGAAACUUAGCUCUACUUUUGUAGACACCUCUAAGGCUACAUCCCUAUGAAAGGAGGGAAAUGAAGCUAAAUGAAUGGACCUAAUUUCAGAAAACAACUAGUAAGAUAAAAAGAGAGAAAGACAUCCGUCCAAACAACUUAAAGCAAAGCUGAAAACAAGUAAAUUAAUUCAUAAAUGAACGGAUAAAUAUAUAAAUAAUGAUAAUGAAAUCAAUGGAAACUGAUAAACCUAAAUUUAUUUAAAUGAAUUAGUUAAAAUAUAAUAACAUAAAUCCAAGUAGAUGGAAAAACCAAAUCUAUUAACCCUCAAAUCCCAAACUAUCAAAUAGAUUAUUGCCCCAUAAAUAAACCAAAUCCAACAAAUUGAACUUUAAACCUACUAUUUAAAUUCCCCAAUUUGGAAUUACUCAAAUUAGCUAAAACAACACAAAAAUUCCUCAUUGAUCAACCCUACAACAAACAAAUUAUAGCUCAAAUAAACAAAACCAUAGAUUAAUUUUUCUUAGAAGGCGAAAAUUUUGAAAAAAAGAAGAAGAAAAGUGUACCUCCACGAUCGACCAGAACAUAGGUAGGAAGAGAACCAGGCUUGGAUAUAACCGAAAUCCCAAAGUCAUCAAAACCUUUACAAGCUUUUCGGUUUUCUUCAGGGUAAACCACAACACCAGCCAUGCUUCCACCACAUUGAGGUAUCCCAAAGUUCCCAAUCGCACUAUCAUGGGUUGCUUUAAUCUUCUCCGGCGAUGUUACCGCCAAGCUCUUCUUUUCCACCACGAAUCUCGCGUAACAAUUGCGUAUCAAAGAUAAUAAAAUAAACACUUGAGGAAGAUGAUGAUGAUGGAAUGUUCGUAGCUCCAUAUCUUUACUUUUGGUUUUGGAUUUGGAUUGGAUCAGUUUUAAGGACGAUACUGAUGAAGAAGAUGAAGAUCGUGUAUGAAAAACAUGUAAAAUGAAAUGGUUUUUUUGAAAAAAAUAAAAACAGUGAAAAUCGCCAUUAAAUAAUUCUAUGAUUCUUUUAUUUGUUUUAAAUGAAUUUAGAACACAGUUAGUGAAAUUUUGACACGCUACUAAUAAAUAAUCUUAGUCAUUUAUAGAUUAAACAUUUUUCUUUUUUUUAAACAGUGCAAUGAGACCAAAUCCAGUCAUCUGAAGUAAACUUAAUGGGUUUAUGUUUUUCUUAGCCCCCAAAUUUUCACCUACCGUGUAAUUUAGUACAUGUUAAAAAAAUCCAAUUUAGUCAUUUGUAUUAUACGUGACGGUCUUCUACAUAUACGAAGUCGUUUAAGUUUCGUUCCGGUGAAGAUUUCAAUAUGCUUCGCAUGUUCCAAAGUCCUUUGGCCCAUUCUAGCCAGUAUCGGCCCGUAUCAAUUGGUACAAAAUUUUGAUAUUUAAACUUAUCUUUUAAUUUUUUAUCUUAAACAUUUUAACUUUUUAUAACUACGUUUAAAAUUAAAAUAAACUGAAGCUAUUGAACCAAUUAAUAGAUUUAAAACUUAUUUUUACAUAUAGAUAGAUGUCAUUGAAAUAUAUCAAGAAAAUUUUCGGUGCAUUUAGCACAUAAAAUCCUCCAAAAAUAAGGAAAACAGUUAAAUAAUAUAACAUGAAGGAUUCAACAAAAACAACAAAGGAACAUCACAUUAUUCUUGGAUAACGGCAAUAAUUGUAUCAUUACUGAUUAUCAUCAGUUCUUCAUGGCGCAUCUCUCUAUGCAGGUAUUGACGCAGCCGACAACUUCCUUUGAAGCUGACAAAAACAAAACAAAUCAUUAAGUUAAUAUACGUACUUACUUACCAUCAAAUAUUAAUAUAAAACGGAAAAAGAAAAAUUACCAGGCAUCCUCCCUUGGCUGCUUAGCAUUGAACAUGUCAUGGCAGCACACCCAACAGUGCAGAAUACGGAGCUGCUCGCGAGGUGGGUUUCCUCCAAUGUCUCCACCAGUGCUUCUGACGGCAGGCAGCGUUGAAUACAUUCCCCAAGGGAAGUUCCGUUGGCGACGCAAGUCGUUACGCAAAAAGUAUACCCAAGUCCAAUCGGGACAAGUGCUGUAACAGCUUGACGCGAGGGACUAACAAGGAUCAACAACAGCAAACAGAACAUCAACGCCAAUGAUUUCCCCCCCAUUAUGUAUAUAUUUGAUUUGAUUUGAUAAUGAUUUUUUUGCACUGCUUGAUAUCGGUGUUAUAUACACUUUGAUUGUCAUGCCAAACUACCAAACUGCCUAAUUAAGAUGCCAAACUAUAAUGCCAAAAUUUGAUUGAAUGCAAAAUUAAAAGAACAUUUCUAUAAGUAAUCAAAAUAAUUUGAAAUGAAUUUGUCAUGCCAAACUACAUGGAAAAUGUCUAAUGUCUUGUCCUUUUUUUAGAAUUCUUCCUAAUAAUCUAAAUUCUUCCUAACCAUCCCAAAUAUUCUGAUUGUCAAUGUUCUUUCUCAGAUGUCAUGAAUCACAAAUGAACACUAAACCUUUAACUUCAUAUUUUAAACAUUAACAUCGAAGUAAACACUUAAACCGUGCAAAUAAAAUCUUGAUUCUCAC